rnacentral:ncRNA from 1 species
AAUAAAUAUAUUAAAAGGGAAUAUAGUGAAAAUCUAUAACAGCCCACGCUACUGUAAAAUGGUGACGAUGUUGUGAUAAUACCACUGGUAUUGAUACUGGGAAGGUACAACAAAGGUUAUUAGCCAUAAGUCAGGAGACCUGCCGGUAAAGAAA